rnacentral:rRNA from 1 species
CGUAACACGUAUGUAACCUACCUUCUUCAGGGGGAUAGCCUCUCGAAAGAGAGAUUAAGACCGCAUAACAUUGAGCUGUGGCAUCACAAAUCAAUCAAAUAUUUAUAGGAAGAAGAUGGGCAUGCGGAACAUUAGCUAGUUGGUAAGGUAAUGGCUUACCAAGGCUACGAUGUUUAGGGGAUCUGAGAGGAUGGCCCCCCACACUGGUACUGAGACACGGACCAG